rnacentral:rRNA from 1 species
UACGUAGGGUCCGAGCGUUGUCCGGAAUUAUUGGGCGUAAAGGGCUCGUAGGCGGUCUGUUGCGUCGGGAGUGAAAACUUACAGCUUAACUGUGAGCGUGCUUCCGAUACGGGCAGACUUGAGGUAUUCAGGGGAGAACGGAAUUCUUGGUGUAGCGGUGAAAUGCGUAGAUAUCAAGAGGAACACCUGCGGCGAAGGCGGGUUGCUGGGCCGACACUGACGCUGAGGCGCGAAAGCUAGGGGAGCGAACGGG